GUGCUUGUUACGGCAGCACAUAUACUAAAAUUGGAUCGAUACAGAGAAGAUUAGCAUGGCCCCU
rnacentral:snRNA from 1 species